rnacentral:rRNA from 1 species
GACGAACGCUGGCGGCGUGCCUAAUACAUGCAAGUCGAACGGUUUAGUUCCAAGAGGCUUGCCUUUUGGAACUAGACAGUGGCGGACGGGUGAGUAACACGUAGGCAACCUACCUGUCAAACCGGGAUAACCUCGGGAAACCGAAGCUAAACCCGGAUAAGCUCCUUUUUCGCAUGAAGGGGGAGUGAAAAGGUGCGACCUGAUGACAGAUGGGCCUGCGGCGCAUUAGCUAGUAGGUAGGGUAACGGCCUACCUAGGCGAUGAUGCGUAGCCGACCUGAGGGGGCGGACGCCCACGCGGGGACUGAGACCGGGCCCAGACUCCGAGGGGGGGGAGCAGGGGGGAAUCUUCGGCAGUGGGCGAGAGCCUGACCGAGCAACGCCGGGGGGGUGAGGAGGGCCUUCGGGUUAAAAACCUUUGUUGUGUGGAAAGAGGGGAAAGGGUAGGCCCCUUGGGUGAGGGUACAAAACAAGAAAGCCCCGGCUAACUACGGC